rnacentral:rRNA from 1 species
ACUCAAAGGAAUAGACGGGGCCCCGCACAAGCAGCGGAGCGUGUGGUUUAAUUCGAUGCAACGCGAAGAACCUUACCUGGGCUUGACAUGUGUUUGCAAGGGUGUGAAAGCACCCCCUCUACGGACAGACACACAGAUGUUGCAUGGCUGUCGUCAGCUCGUGUCGUGAGAUGUUGGGUUAAGUCCCGCAACGAGCGCAACCCUUGUAUCUAGUUAUCGAUCUAGAGAGACUGCCGGAAACAAACCGGAGGAAGGUGGGGAUGAUGUCAAGUCAGCAUGACUCUUACGUCCAGGGCUACACACACGCUACAAUGGCCGUUACAACGAGAAGCCAACCCGCGAGGGUGAGCAGAGCUCUAAAAGGCGGCCUCAGUUCAGAUUGCACUCUGCAACCCGAGUGCAUGAAGUGGGAGUUGCUAGUAACCGCGUGACAGCAUAGCGCGGUGAAUAUGUUCCCGGGGCUUGCACACACCGCCCGU